CUCGUAGGCGGCUUGUCACGUCUGCUGUGAAAACGCGGGGCUUAACUCCGCGCGUGCAGUGGGUACGGGCAGGCUAGAGUGUGGUAGGGGUGACUGGAAUUCCUGGUGUAGCGGUGGAAUGCGCAGAUAUCAGGAGGAACACCGAUGGCGAAGGCAGGUCACUGGGCCAUUACUGACGCUGAGGAGCGAAAGCAUGGGAGCGAACA
rnacentral:rRNA from 1 species